rnacentral:lncRNA from 1 species
CGCUGGUGUGCGUUGCCCUGAUCAUCGUUGCUUCACUCGUCUUCCUGCAGUCACAGACAAUGAGAAGCGGACACCGUUGCAUGCCGCUACCUAUCUAGGAGAUACAGAAAUUCUAGAGCUACUCAUACUAUCAGGUAAGGUUAUCAUUGAAGAGAAGGAUUACGCAAUGAUUCAUGUCCAUCGGACUUUGACUUCUGUUUUGAUGCUUGUUGUGUUUGCAUGUGACCGUUUCCCUCAUACUUACCACCAUUAAGAUCUUAUGUGCAGCCGAUGUAUUUAAAAAUGUAAAAAAAACAUUCUAAUGAAGGCCAUUGACAGCUGAAACGUCCCGAUUUUAACUUGAUUAGUGA